rnacentral:rRNA from 1 species
UACAGAGGGUGCAAGCGUUGUUCGGAAUUAUUGGGCGUAAAGCGCGUGUAGGCGGCUUGGCAAGUCGGGUGUGAAAUCUCGGGGCUCAACUCCGAAAUUGCAUUCGAUACUGCGGUGCUUGAGGACUGGAGAGGAGACUGGAAUUCACGGUGUAGCAGUGAAAUGCGUAGAUAUCGUGAGGAAGACCGGUGGCGAAGGCGGGUCUCUGGACAGUUCCUGACGCUGAGGCACGAAGGCCAGGGGAGCAAACGGG